GGGUGCAUUACUGGGUGAAUCUCCUUUGGAAGGCAACUAAAACUCGGUUACAUUGCAUGUUGGCAUGCCAUGUGGUGGGCGACAUGCGAUGCGAUGCUUAGCUCACUGCCAAAGGAGAUUUGCCCCGCAAUUCAGCC
rfam:Gossypium arboreum cultivar AKA8401 contig_464_3, whole genome shotgun sequence.